rnacentral:rRNA from 1 species
AAUAUUGCACAAUGGGGGAAACCCUGAUGCAGCGACGCCGCGUGAGCGAAGAUGGCCUUCGGGUCGUAAAGCUCUGUCCUAAGGGAAGAAGAGGACGGUACCUUAGGAGGAAGCCCCGGCUACCUACUUGCCAGCAGCCGCGGUAAUACGUAGGGGGCGAGCGUUAUCCGGAAUUACUGGGCGUAAAGGGUGCGUAGGCGGCCUUUUAAGUCAGAUGUGAAAGGCUACGGAUUAGCCGUAGUUAGCAUUUGAAGCUAAGAGGCUUGAGUGCAGGAGAGGAGAGUGGAAUUCCUAGUGUGGCGGUGAAAUGCGUAGAUAUUAGGAGGAACACCAGUGGCGAAGGCGACUCUCUGGACUGCAAAUGACGCUGAGGCACGAAAGCGUGGGUAGCGAA